rnacentral:rRNA from 1 species
UGGGGAAUAUUGCACAAUGGGCGCAAGCCUGAUGCAGCCAUGCCGCGUGUGUGAAGAAGGCCUUCGGGUUGUAAAGCACUUUCAGCGAGGAGGAAGGUGGUGAACUUAAUACGUUCAUCAAUUGACGUUACUCGCAGAAGAAGCACCGGCUAACUCCGUGCCAGCAGCCGCGGUAAUACGGAGGGUGCAGGCGUUAAUCGGAAUUACUGGGCGUAAAGCGCACGCAGGCGGUUUGUUAAGUCAGAUGUGAAAUCCCCGGGCUCAACCUGGGAACUGCAUUUGAAACUGGCAAGCUAGAGUCUCGUAGAGGGGGGUAGAAUUCCAGGUGUAGCGGUGAAAUGCGUAGAGAUCUGGAGGAAUACCGGUGGCGAAGGCGGCCCCCUGGACGAAGACUGACGCUCAGGUGCGAAAGCGUGGGGAGCAAACAGGAUUAGAUACCCUGGUAGUCCACGCUGUAAACGAUGUCGAUUUGGAGGUUGUGCCCUUGAGGCGUGGCUUCCGGAGCUAACGCGUUAAAUCGACCGCCUGGGGAGUACGGCCGCAAGGUUAAAACUCAAAUGAAUUG